rnacentral:tRNA from 1 species
AAGAAUUUAGUUAAAAAAUAACGUUAAUUUGUCAAAUUAAAAUUAUUAAUUAUUAAUAAUUCUUA